UUGGAUUGGAGACGACGAAUGGAGUUUACUUCCGGCGACCGUGCCGCCGUUACCCAUUCAGACGAACAUAAACGACGGCACUGUUCUUCUAUUUUCAAACUCCCGUCAAACUUCACGAGUUCCUUCCGUUUCAUUGAAUUGCUUUCAUCUUCUUCCCACCAAAUCGAAACGACGUCGGAGAAGAAUUUUACUAUUCAUACCGAGAGGUGGACGUGUAACACCUGUAAUUACAGUUUUGAUUCCCUUCAUGACCAGCGGUCUCACUUCAAAUCAGAUUUUCAUAGAUUCAAUAUAAAGCUAAGUAUUGCAGGGAAGGAUACUAUCAAGGAGGAUGAUCAUGAUAUUAUAUCAAGUAUAUCAGGUUCAGAAGACAAAGAUAACAGAGAAUCUGGUGGCCAUGAUGAUUUAAGUAAGGGAUUGAUGGUGAGUACAAAACAGAAAGUUUCUAUACGUCUGCCAAAUGGAGAAUCAAUUUCAUUCUGGAAGUGCUUGCUUUUAGGUGACAAUGAGAAAAUUCGCUUUGAACAUGAUUUAUCUGGACCCAUAAAGGAUGACGAUACGCCGUUUGUGACAGUGAGGGAAGUGAUUGAGAAAAUGCUCAGUGUGAUCAAUGAGCCUAGAAACAAUACAUGUUUGAGAGUUAUCUUGCUUGCUAGCGCUGGUCGUUUUGCUGGUUGUGUCUUUGAUGGAAACACUGUUGUCACCCACAAAACAUUUCACAGAUAUGUAGUAAGGGCAAAAGCUGGUAAGAAGCAAUCGGCAGAAGAUGCUGGUGGCAAUAUUGCACAUUCUGCAGGAGCUUCAAUUCGACGGCACAAUGAACUUGCUUUAACCAAGGAUAUCCGCGAACUACUCACUGCAUGGAAGCCGUAUUUUGAUCUAUCUACUGCUAUUUUCAUUCAUGCUCCUUCACACAACCGAAAACAGCUAUUUAAUGGUGAAAAUCCAUGCUUUAGAUGCCAGAAACAUGUUAUCAGACACAUCCCAUUAACAGUUCAAAGGCCAACAUUCAAAGAAGCUCAACGGUUAUAUAAAAUAUUGACACGAAUCUCCACUGAACCAGAUGAAGAAAUAUCACCUGUUAUCAAAGAAGAUUCAACAAGUACACUUGUCACAGAAAACACAAAUAAUAACCUGGAAAUUGAGAAUCUUUUAGAAGAUGAUCUUGUUAAAAAUGUGCAAAGAGUGCAUAUGUCAUUGCCUUUACAUGAAGCAGCAAAAGCUGGAAAUGCAGAGAAAGUUCUGGAACUACUAGAACAAGGUUCUGAUCCUUGUGUUAUAGAUGAAAGGGGACGGACUGCUUAUAGGCUUGCAGCUGGUAAAGAAGUAAGGAAUACGUUUAGACAUUUUAUGGCGUUGAACCCGGAUACGUGGGAUUGGCAAGCUGCCAAAGUUCCCAGCCCGUUAACAAAAGAAAUGGAAGAAUCUCAGAACGUAAAGCAGGCGAAUAAGGAUGCUAAAAGGAAAGCAAGAGCCAAAGAGCUGAAACGGAUACACAAAGCUACAAAAAAGAAGGCUAAGGAGGGCGUUCCGUCCAGCCAUCAAGGAACUCGCUGGAUUUCCAGUAGGGUUGCGGGAGCUUUGGUUUUGGUUUUUGGGAGUCUGGUGAUGAUAGCCUUUGGUCAAAUGGUCAAAGGUAGGUGGUGGAAGAAACCACAAAGAACGCAAGAUGAUUAAAUGGAGGUGAUUCGUAUACUUUAAAAGUUAUUCUUACACCCUAAAAUACAACAUCACUGCUGUUCAAGGAGUGUGUGCGAAACCUAGCCAAUAGUUGUUCCUGUCAGCCGUUCACAAAAAAAGGAUGUUAUAAAGCAAGGGAAGAGAAGUUCAGGGGGCUUAUGGUAUCAAGAAGUUAGAUUUUGGACCCAUUUUCAAGAUGUUCACUUUACCCCUCUAUGUUCAAGUAUGGUCUCCAUUCUCAUAGGAUUCUUUUUGUAGUUUCUCGUUCAAAUCUGUACUUAUUUUGCCCUCAAAUUUGUCGUGACAUCUUUGAACAUCGACGUUUUUUUUUUCGAAUGGCUCAUUUAUUUUUG